GAUGAACGCUGGCGGCGUGCCUAAUACAUGCAAGUCGAGCGAACAGACGAGGAGCUUGCUCCUCUGACGUUAGCGGCGGACGGGUGAGUAACACGUGGAUAACCUACUUAUAUGACUGGGAUAAUUUCGGGAAACAGGAGAUAAUACUGGAUAAUAUAUUGAACCGCAUGGAUCAAUAGAGAAUGACGGCUUUGCCGUCACUUAUAGAUGAAUCCGCGCCGCAUUAGCUAGUUGGUAAGGUAACGGCUUACCAAGGCGACGAUGCGUAGCCGACCUGAGAGGGUGAUCAGCCACACUGGAACUGAGACACGGUCCAGACUCCUACGGGAGGCAGCAGUAGGGAAUCUUGCGCAAUGGGCGAAAGCCUGACGCAGCCACGCCGCGUGAGUGAUGAAGGUCUUCGGAUCGUAAAGCUCUGUUAUUAGGAAAGAACAGAUGUAUAAGUAACUAUGCACGUCUUGACGGUACCUAAUCAAAAAGCCACGGCUAACUACGUG
rnacentral:rRNA from 1 species